UACAGAGGUCUCGAGCGUUAGGCGGAAUCACUGGGCUUAAAGCGUGUGUAGGCGGAUCGUUAAGUGCCUUGUGAAAUCCCACGGCUUAACCGUGGAACUGCUUGGCAUACUGGCGAUCUUGAGCAACCUAGGGGCGAGCGGAACAAAUGGUGGAGCGGUGAAACGCGUAGAUAUCAUUUGGAACGCCAAUGGUGAAAACAGCUCGCUGGGGGUUUGCUGACGCUGAGACACGAAAGCCAGGGGAGCAAACGGG
rnacentral:rRNA from 1 species